rnacentral:rRNA from 1 species
ACGGAAGGCAGCAGUGAGGAAUAUUGGACAAUGGAGGCAACUCUGAUCCAGCCAAACCGCGUGAAGGAAGACGGUCCUAUGGAUUGUAAACUUCUUUUGUAAGGGGAUAAACCUAGAUAUGUAUAUCUAGCUGAAGGUACCUUACGAAUAAGCAUCGGCUAACUCCGUGCCAGCAGCCGCGGUAAUACGGAGGAUGCAGGCGUUAUCCGGAUUUAUUAGGUUUAAAGGGUGCGCAGGCGGGACACUAAGUCGGCGGUGAAAUCUCAUGGCCCAACCAUGAAACUGCCAUCGAUACUGGUGACCUUGAGUACGAAUGAGGAAGGCGGAAUGAGUCGUGUAGCGGUGAAAUGCUUAGAUAUGACGAAGAACUCCGAUUGGGAAGCCAGCUUACUGUAGCGCCACUGACGCUGAUGCUCGAAAGCGUGGGUAUCGAACAGGAUUAGAUACCCUGGUA